UGUUGUGUUUAAAUAUAUAAUAUGUUGAUGAAAACCAAUUUUUAACGUAAUUACAAAUAAUUUGUAUUACUUUAAAUAUUUUUUAUAAAUAAUUUUUUAGAAUUUCAUCAUCAAAUCAACAUUCAAAAUAGAUAAGACUGAUGUGAAGAAAAUGAAUAUGUUUCAAAGUAGAAAAAGACCUUUGAUGUCAUUAUCAAAACGACAGCUAUCCCGGCAAGCAGUUCAAAAGACAACUGAGGAUUUGGAAAGAAUAUGGGUAUGAAAAAGUUUGCUGUAAUUUAAUUUGAAGAUGGUGUUCAGUGUGUACCACUUACAUGGUUAAAUACAGACAGAAAGAUUUGCAAGUGGCCUCCGUAUGAAAACCAGUACAGAAUCAAAAAACCUAUUGCAAACAGUGUGUCUCCAUCAUUAGAUUGGAAACAUCAUCGUGUCCUGCGGGUUUUUGCUACAACAUAAACUUAUCAAAGGGCCAUUGAGAAAUUAAAGGAGGCCGAGAUAUUUUCCGACGUAGAAAGUACAGACAAUGAGGUGAGGAAGAAAAGAAGAAUAGUACCAGCAAGGGUCCUAUCAUCUGACAGUGAGGAAGCAAAUGAUGAUGCAGAUAAUGUAGUGCUUCCCACAUACCCUCAGCCAACGGCUACUGAUGUAUUUAGUCAAAGCACAGUUGCACCAAGAAGUAAGUCUGUCUCUGUUGGUGUGCAGACUGACAACACAGUUUCUGAAUGAGUUAUGGAAUGUCAGAGAUUAAUGCUGAGAAAAGUAAAUUUGUUGGCACUCAAAGUUGAUGCAAUAAUAGAAAAGUUGGAAGGUUUUGAACCAACACCAAGACAUGAGCCAACCAAUGGUGCGACUGACAUAAUGUCGAGGUUUCCAGUCGUUUGUGAUGUUGGCUUGGAAUAAAUGGAAAACCUUAUGUUAAAGGAAGAAAAUUCAUCAGUUGUGGAGCUGUGCGGAUUGCAGCACCUACGGCAACCGAGAAAGAUAUCUGUGUGAUAAUCUCAAACUGGAUGAAGCAUGCAAAAACCCGACAAGAAAGAAGUAGGCAAGAAUUUUUUUUGGAGUUAAUUGGUUUUAUGCAAUGCCAACUAUACCUAACCCAAAAUUUUUGGUCUACAUACAUUUUUUUAGAGAUUGCUUUCUGAAGAAUAAAUGCAUCCAGGGUAACCUGGUUCUACAAAUUAAUGUUCCAAACCUCUGAAGUAGCAGCUAUCAAUUUAUGGUAUAUCUGAUAAAAAUUAAGUUGUUCCCUGCUCAUUUUUUGUUGAAACUUAUAGUAAUAUAGUUUUUGCUUUUAGAAAAUAAGUUCGUAUGUACAUACCGCCAAACCCCAUUUUUACACUUCUCAAGGGACCAGCCGAAAUCUGAGUAAAAUACAGUAAAAUUUAGAAAGAGAACAGCUGAACAUCAUGUAAAUGAGGCAUUCGGGAAUAUAUGUAAAAUGAGGGAAUAUUCAAAAUCCAGUGGUCCAAAGACAAGGAUUCUACCGGGUACUGUAUUUCAAAUUGUCAGGAUGAUUUUCAUGAUAUUUUAAUGAUGUAAUCUUCACUACUUAGUUUAACUAUCAAAAACUACAAAGAAAAGUCAGAAAAUUUAUUUAAAGUUCAAGAAAUUACCUAAGA